rnacentral:rRNA from 1 species
GAUGAACGCUGGCGGCGUGCCUAAUACAUGCAAGUCGAGCGAACAGACGAGGAGCUUGCUCCUCUGACGUUAGCGGCGGACGGGUGAGUAACACGUGGAUAACCUACCUAUAAGACUGGGAUAACUUCGGGAAACCGGAGCUAAUACCGGAUAAUAUAUUGAACCGCAUGGUUCAAUAGUGGAAGACGGUUUUGCUGUCACUUAUAGAUGGAUCCGCGCCGCAUUAGCUAGUUGGUAAGGUAACGGCUUACCAAGGCAACGAUGCGUAGCCGACCUGAGAGGGUGAUCGGCCACACUGGAACUGAGACACGGUCCAGACUCCUACGGGAGGCAGCAGUAGGGAAUCUUCCGCAAUGGGCGAAAGCCUGACGGAGCAACGCCGCGUGAGUGAUGAAGGUCUUCGGAUCGUAAAACUCUGUUAUUAAGGAAGAACAAAUGUGUAAGUAACUAUGCACGUCUUGACGGUACCUAAUCAGAAAGCCACGGCUAACUACGUG